rnacentral:rRNA from 1 species
CACGUAGGGGGCGAGCGUUGUCCGGAUUCAUUGGGCGUAAAGAGCUCGUAGGCGGCUCAGUAAGUCGGGUGUGAAACCCUCAGGCUCAACCUGGGGACGCCACUCGAUACUGCUGUGGCUAGAGUCCAGUAGAGGAGUGUGGAAUUCCCGGUGUAGCGGUGAAAUGCGCAGAUAUCGGGAGGAACACCAGCGGCGAAGGCAGCACUCUGGGCUGGUACUGACGCUGAGGAGCGAAAGCGUGGGUAGCAAACAGG